GUAGACCUACGGGGCGCAGCAGUGGGGAAUAUUGCACAAUGGGGGAAACCCUGAUGCAGCGACGCCGCGUGAGCGAUGAAGUAUUUCGGUAUGUAAAGCUCUAUCAGCAGGGAAGAAAAUGACGGUACCUGACUAAGAAGCCCCGGCUAAAUACGUGCCAGCAGCCGCGGUAAUACGUAUGGUGCAAGCGUUAUCCGGAUUUACUGGGUGUAAAGGGAGCGCAGGCGGCACGGCAAGCCUGAUGUGAAAGCCCGCGGCCCAACCGCGGGACUGCAUUGGGAACUACCGGGCUGGAGUGCCGGAGG
rnacentral:rRNA from 1 species